rnacentral:rRNA from 1 species
UAAGGAAUAUUGGACAAUGGAGGCAACUCUGAUCCAGCCAUGCCGCGUGAAGGAAUAAGGCCCUAUGGGUUGUAAACUUCUUUUAGACGGGACAAAACCCCUUUACGUGUAAAGGGUUGAUGGUACUGUCAGAAUAAGCAUCGGCUAACUUCGUGCCAGCAGCCGCGGUAAUACGAAGGAUGCAAGCGUUAUCCGGAAUUAUUGGGUUUAAAGGGUGCGUAGGCGGACUAAUAAGUCAGUGGUGAAAGCCUGCAGCUUAACUGCAGAAUUGCCAUUGAUACUGUUAGUCUUGAGUACAGUUGAGGUAGGCGGAAUGUGUCAGGUAGCGGUGAAAUGCUUAGAUAUGACACAGAACACCGAUUGCGAAGGCAGCUUGCUAAGCUGUAACUGACGCUGAGGCACGAAAGCGUGGGGAGCAAACA